CCUUUACAAUUUUUGGAUUACUUCAGCAAAUUUCAUUGGGAGAAAUAUUGUGUAUGUUUAAAUGGACCAGUUUACAAAUCCUCCCUACCUGAUAUUGUGGCUGAAGUACCAAAUAAUGGAGGGGAUGAUGUACUGCUAAGUGAAGAGUUUAUUAGAAAUUGUGUAGACAUGUUCUCUGUUCCAUCAAAAGGGUGUGAGACAAACUUACGAGUUUGUUCCUUAUAAUUGAUCCACUAAAAGAGAACGACAACCUUGGCCGAAGUGUCAAUAGAGGUAGCUUCUAUCAAAAAUGUAGUGCUUAUAAAUAUGGAGCUCGCAAGCUAGGCUGAAUUCUCUUGUUACCAGCAGAGAAUAUCAGAUGAACUUAACAAGUUUUUUGCCACACUUUGGAUAGGCAUGAAAGUAAAUGCCAGACUACUGUGCAAAAUAAUGCCUUGUUGGAGCUUGGUGAAGAGUUGGAGUUGAUACCAGUAAAUGAAACAUCAACUAUGUCUCUUUGUGGUAGGUUUAAGC